UAAUGGCUCACCAAGGCGACGAUCCCUAGCUGGUCUGAGAGGAUGAUCAGCCACACUGGAACUGAGACACGGUCCAGACUCCUACGGGAGGCAGCAGUGGGGAAUAUUGCACAAUGGGCGCAAGCCUGAUGCAGCCAUGCCGCGUGUGUGAAGAAGGCCUUCGGGUUGUAAAGCACUUUCAGUNGUGAGGAAGGUAGUGUAGUUAAUAGCUGCAUUAUUUGACGUUAGCNACAGAAGAAGCACCGGCUAACUCCGUGCCAGCAGCCGCGGUAAUACGGAGGGUGCGAGCGUUAAUCGGAAUUACUGGGCGUAAAGCGCAUGCAGGUGGUUAGUUAAGUCAGAUGUGAAAGCCCGGGGCUCAACCUCGGAACUGCAUUUGAAACUGGCAGACUAGAGUACUGUAGAGGGGGGUAGAAUUUCAGGUGU
rnacentral:rRNA from 1 species